UAAAUUUCGUCUUCGUGUCAUGUAAAGUGAAGAAACAGGAGUUUUCUGGAUACAAAAGUGUAGUAUAAUGCAAAAACCCUAUGGAGCCACCUUAAAAUAGAUUUUUAUUAUUAUUUUAUGACUUUUAAACACAGAAAUCACUCGUGGUCACUCGUGGUCAUUCGUAGUCAUUCGUGGUCACUCGUGGUCAUUCGUGGUCACUCGUGGUCACCCGUGUGUACUUUUAGACAAGACCCUAUAAAUAGCGAGAAAUUAAAAAUAGCGUGAGAACUUGUCGACUUCUUCUGCUGUACAAUAAAUAAAUAAACUGUGGUGGUGAUUUUAUUAUGGGUGGGGAUAAAACGCUGAAACUGAAUCGUGGAAACUGAAAUGGGG